rnacentral:lncRNA from 1 species
UAGGAAGCUAAACGCUACAACAAGGAAAGAUCACUUUCCGUUGCCAUUCAUCGACCAAAUGCUUGAAAGGUUAGCCAGUCGUGCGUUUUAUUGUUUUCUUGAUGGAUAUUCUGGAUAUAACCAAAUUAUGAUAGCACUGGAUGACCAAGAGAAUACCACAUUCACAUGUCCCUUUGGAACUUUUGCCUAUCGUCGCAUGCCAUUCGGCCUAUGCAACGCACCUGCCACUUUCCAAAGGUGUAUGGUAAGUAUAUUCUCCGAUUAUGUUGAGAAGAUAAUUGAGGUAUUUAUGGAUGAUUUCAGUGUAUUUGGGGAGUCUUUUGAUAAUUGUUUGGAUAAUCUGACCUUGAUCUUGAAACGAUGUGUUAAAACUAACCUUGUGUUGAAUUGGGAAAACUGCCACUUUAUGGUUAAACAAGGUAUAGUUUUAGGCCAUAUCGUUUCAAAAAAAGGAAUUGAAGUAGAUAAAUCAAAAAUAGAUCUUGUACGUCACUUACCCUCUCAUACUUCGGUUAGAGAGGUUCGUUCAUUUCUUGGCCAUGCAGGGUUCUAUAGGCGUUUCAUCAAGGAUUUUUCCAAGAUGUCCAACCCCCUUUGCCGAUUGCUUCAAAAAGAUGUGCCCUUCCAGUUUGAUGAGGAGUGUGAAUUAGCAUUCAAGCAGCUCAAGGAGAAGCUCACUUCGACCCCUAUCAUUGCUCCUCCCGAUUGGAGCCUUCCUUUCGAGCUUAUGUGCGAUGCAUCCGACUAUUCAUUAGGCGCUAUUUUGGGGCAAAGAAAAGACAAGCAGCCGCAUGUUAUAUAUUAUGCCUCUCGGACUCUCAAUGAUGCCCAAUUGAACAACUCCACAACGGAAAAAGAACUUCUAGCUGUUGUCUUUGCUUUAGAUAAAUUUUGAUCUUACUUAAUUGGAACUAAAGUGAUUGUUUAUACUGAUCAUGCAGCUUUAAAGUACUUACUAACGAAGAAGGAAGCAAAAUCGAGGCUCAUUCGUUGGAUGCUUCUUCUUCAAGAGUUUGACAUUGAAAUCCGAGACAAGAAAGGAAGCAAGAAUGUGGUGGCUGACCACUUAAGCCGAAUGGUCCAUGAGGAGCAUGAUCAUGACGUGCCUAUCCCUGAAACUUUCCCCGAUGAGCAGCUACUGUCCAUUGAGGUGAGUGAACCAUGGUAUGCCGAUCUAGUGAAUACCAAGCACCAAUGUGAUAAACUUCGAAAAGAUGCACGCUACAACAAGGAAAUAUCACUUUCCGUUGCCAUUCAUCGACCAAAUGCUUGAAAGGUUAGCCAGUCGUGCGUUUUAUUGUUUUCUUGAUGGAUAUUCUGGAUAUAACCAAAUUGUGAUAGCACCAGAUGACCAAGAGAAUACCACAUUCACAUGUCCCUUUGGAACUUUUGCCUAUCGUUGCAUGCCAUUCGGCCUAUGCAACGCACCUGCCACUUUCCAAAGGUGUAUGGUAAGUAUAUUCUCCGAUUAUGUUGAGAAGAUAAUUGAGGUAUUUAUGGAUGAUUUCAGUGUAUUUGGGGAGUCUUUUGAUAAUUGUUUGGAUAAUCUGACCUUGAUCUUGAAACGAUGUGUUCAAACUAACCUUGUGUUGAAUUGGGAAAAAUGCCACUUUAUGGUUAAACAAGGUAUAGUUUUAGGCCAUAUUGUUUCAAAAAAAGGAAUUGAAGUAGAUAAAUAAAAAAUAGACCUUGUACGACACUUACCCUCUCAUACUUCGGUUAGAGAGGUUCGUUC